rnacentral:rRNA from 1 species
AGAGUACGUGAAACCGUUUAGGGGUAAACCUGAGAAACCCGAAAAGUCGAAGGGAGAAAUUCACCGCGGUUCGACGAAGGUGACGUAUCGACGCGUGACUGCGCUCUUCGGACGCGCGGCACCGUCGAUUCGUUUUUUUAUCGACGACGAACGCGUGCACUUUUCUCCCGGUAGGACGUCGCGAUCCGUUGGGCGUCGGUCUACGGCUGACGGUGGAGCCCGCGAGUCGUUCUUCGGAACGUACGCGCGGACCCGUUUGCACCCUGACCGACUCGCUCGACGGUAUACGAACGGUUUGGGGCCGCUUUUAAAGCGUUCGACUCCGGCUUUCGGGCCGCGAUGUCUCGGACAGACCCUAAAAACCGAUCUGCGACGCUAUAGCUUUGGGUACUUUCAGG